rnacentral:rRNA from 1 species
ACGGAGGAUGCGAGCGUUGUCCGGAAUCAUUGGGCGUAAAGAGUUCGUAGGCGGCAUGUCAAGUCUGGUGUUAAAGCCCGGGGCUUAACUCCGGUACAGCGCUGGAAACUGACAAGCUAGAGCAUAGCAGAGGCAAGGGGAAUUCCCAGUGUAGCGGUGAAAUGCGUAGAUAUUGGGAGGAACACCAGUGGCGUAGGCGCUUUGCUGGGCUAUUGCUGACGCUGAGGAACGAAAGCCAGGGGAGCGAAUGG